AGAGGCCCGUGAUGAUCUUCCUAUAGUCUUGCCUACAUUGCCUGACUAUAUGUAUGAUUAUGUUAUUGACUUCUCUGAGGCCUCU
rnacentral:snoRNA from 1 species